CCAGCAGUUUCCUCUGCCUGGAACACUUUCCACAGCGCUGGAUUACAACUGUUGGUCUCCCUGCCUCCCUUCCCCUGCUUCCCAGAGCACGAAGAAGCUUGCCUCCGCAACCCACUAUUUGUGUGACCUUGGUCCAGGAACUGGACUGGGCUCUCCUCCUGAAAGUGGGUAAAUAAUGUCACCGACCUAAUGAGGCUGUUGAGGCAUGGAAUCUGAUCAGGCAGAUAAAGUGCCCCUGGCAAACCUCAA
rnacentral:lncRNA from 1 species